rnacentral:rRNA from 1 species
GACGAACGCUGGCGGCGUGCUUAACACAUGCAAGUCGAACGGAAAGGCCCCUUUGGGGGUACUCGAGUGGCGAACGGGUGAGUAACACGUGAGUAACCUGCCCUUGACUUCGGGAUAACUUCCGGAAACUGGGGCUAAUACCGGAUAGGAAUCCUUGCUGCAUGGUGGGGGUUGGAAAGCUUCGGCGGUUUUGGAUGGACUCGCGGCUUAUCAGCUUGUUGGUGGGGUAGUGGCUUACCAAGGCUUUGACGGGUAGCCGGCCUGGGAGGGCGACCGGCCACAUUUGGACUGAGAUACGGCCCAGACUCCUACGGGAGGCAGCAGUGGGGAAUAUUGCACAAUGGGCGGGAGCCUGAUGCAGCAACGCCGCGUGCGGGAUGACGGCCUUCGGGUUGGAAACCGCUUUCAGCAGGGGCGAAGCUUGUGGUGACGGUACCUGCAGAAGAAGCACCGGCUAACUACGUG